rnacentral:lncRNA from 1 species
CCAGGAUAUCCGGGAAGGGUCUGUGCAGGAGAUCUGCAAUGCAGUCCGGUCCAAGAGAUUCAACAUCUCCUCAGGUGUGAAAGGAGGUAUGUGGGGAACUGAGGAGGACAGUACAUGCCUCAGUAGGAAGCAGCAGGACAUGGGACCCACCACAGAGUCAACACAGAAGGGGCCAGAGGGCACAACUGGACAUAGGAAGACACCUGCAACUCUCUCCACUGACAACGGACACCCCUGGGUUUUGCUCAAUGAACACCCUGUCAGCAGACUCUGGGAACUGGGCGUGGACCAGGAAGCCAACAGUCCUCCUGAUGAGCGAGGGUGCCAGGGCAACGGGAGGGAAUCAAACGUGCAGAACAACUUCUGCUAGGAAGAAGCACACGAAAGAAAAAAACCAAGAGCACAAGAUGGAUGAGGCAGAGGGGCUGCCGCCUUCCCAGCACAGCAAUGGCACAGAUCCAGUUCCCAGACUGAACUCUGGUUCCUAUCAACCUUCUGGACGGGCCCUGUUACUGCGCAUCGCCUCCCCUGCAGGAAAUUCCCUGCCUUCCGCCAAAUGGAAUUCAUGAACCCCUGCCUCAAUCGCAAACCUCCCCUCUCCAUGGACCUGGGAAGCCCACAUUCUGCUCCGGGCCACACUCUGCAGCUGGGCAUGGAAGGCACAGCCGCAUCUCAGUGCCACCCGUCUGCGCUGGUGGUCAUCCAAGGUACUGAACGCCACCACUGUGGCCACCACCUCAUCGGGUCCCCUGCCGUGCAGGCCUCAGCUGCCUGAACUACACCCACGCCAAAUCCAUCACAACUCAGUUACCCACCCUACAAAUUCUAACCAAAAUAAACCUGGGAAGACUGCAUGCCUACUUUUCUCUCAAUUUUUUAAGUAUAUUUUUGUGACACCGAGUAAAUACACUGACUGUGGGGGACUGGCAUACACACACAUCUCGAUCUUUACCCUCCCCCUCCUCUCCCUCUCAUCUCUCCCAUCCUCAGAAACCCUCUACCUUUCAAAGAACCGAUGAUUCGAUGCAUGGACCCUUAGUAUGUUGAGUCUCAAUUUCAUUAGUUUUUGCUCUGAUCUUUAACAUGUCUUUUCUUCCAUUAGUUUCAGAUUUGGAUGGCUCUUGUCUUUCUUGGACCUUGAGAUGCAUCACUUGUUUAUUUGGGGUCAUUCUCUUCACGUGCUGCACACUAAGCCAAGUACUGACCAAGAGCGCAGCCAACCAAUUCCAGUGUGAUUUGGGUUGG